GGAAGGGAAGGGAAAGGGGAACGAGAAGGGGGGAGAAGGGGAACGAGAAGGGGAAGGGAAGAGAACAGGAUUUAGGAAAAAGAUUUACUCAUACUUUUUAAAAGACUUUUUAUGGGAGGAAAGCGCAGUGAAGCAAAGCACAGGUUUCAGGCGUGCUUGCCUGUGUUUUCUCUCUGCAGAGGCAGCUCUCUGGCUGUGCACUGCAGGACAGUCACUGCCUGUGUUUGCUUCCAGCUCUGUGACCUCCUGCUCUCUCCAAAUGUCACUGCAGUGCUGAGCCCAGCUCCCCCCCGCAGCCCCUUCCGGGCAGGGACACGCUGAGCACCCACAGACUGGAAAGCCUCCAGCUUUCCCAGCUGCACUGGAUCAGAGUUGGGUCUUUCCUGGGCUUUGUUUUGCCGCUGCCCUUUAGCUAUCACUGCUAAACCCACGAUAAGACAAAUAUUUGCCCAGCACUGUGAGCUAUCGAUAGGUAAAUUGCCCUGCACGUCUCACACAGCAUGGGCAGGGGUGCGUGGGCUGGAGCCAGGAAAAUCCCCAUCUCCUCUGACCAAUUGCAGUUUAUGAAAGAUACCGAUUACCCCCCCAGGGAGCUCAUCUUCUGAUUCAGUGCUCAACUUGGCACGCGGGCAGCCUUGCUUUGUAAGUAUAAGGAUUUAUCUACCCUAACUGCAAACCCAGAGCAGCUGAUGGAAGCUGGGGCCUGCUUGUCCCCUCCUCCGGCAGAACGGACCGGAUAGGUCAGCUCAAGGUGCCUCCGUGGACUGCCAAGGUGGCACACAGGGUUUGGUGUGGGGGAAGACACGCUGCUGUCCUUCAAGUGCAUCCUAAUCAUCUGUCAGCUAAAAGCUCUCCCCAUGACCAGAUGGGACCGUCCUUUCUUGGAACACCACCAGCUAGUCAACACCUGUCUGAAGGCAACCAUUAAUUUUUCAUCCAGCACUGAAUUCAUCCAUCCCCACCACACCGAUCUCCUAAAUGGAGCAAUUUCAUUUUCAAUGCAUGAUAUUUCGUGCUCGGAAAUUACCAGCUGUGUAUUCAGGAGCACUAAUGCUAUUCUGCUACUACAGUGCAGGUUUCUCAGAUUGAAAGCUCUGUCAGCCAAAGUGUUUUAAUUUCUGCAUAUUAAAGACCGGAGCUCUUUUCCACUUGAAUUCAAUGGCUCAUAGUGGAUCCCCACCACUACCCACUCUUGGGUAAUGUUAGCUCAGAGAUGCGAAGGCAUGAAAGAUUCUCUGGCUCUGAGCUAGCAAUAAAUCUUAAAUGGAAUGUAGGUUUCUUUUUAUUAAUAGGUGUCCUUUGCUCCCUUUUCUCCUUUCUUUCUUCCUCAACACACAGCCCUACGCUGUUGCUCUCCACUUGUGCAAAUUCCUCAUUUGUCACUCCCAGCUCCCCGCAGCACUAUACAAGCUACUGAAAAAGCUCUCCUCCUCCUUUGUCACAUCAGUUCAAUCUGCUCCUGUCACACAAAAUCUGCUUUUGUUUUGCACUCGCUUUGCUUUACUCCUGCCCGUUUUGUUACCAGUUUGUUACCUUUCUGCUUGAAUUUCACAAUUUGCAGCCAAAGAGGAACCCAAAAGCCUUCCUACCCAGGAGCUUUUGUUAUCUGCCCACCUUUGUCUUCCUCCACAAAACCUGAGCAUGUCACAGGGGCGACAGAUCAACCCACUAUUUUUUUCCUCCGUCCCUCAGAAUAAUUUCCCAUCCACAUCUCCUGCCAAUUUAUUGCCUCCUCAAACUCACGGGGUCUCCGAAGCCUUUGCUGACCUGCGUAACUCCAUGUGAUGCUCCAUCUGUUGUUGACUUCUAUGUGUUUACUCGAUAAAGAGAAAUCUGAAAAAAAAAGAGGCUUGGAGGUCUGGCCAACAUCACUGUCAUUCCUCAAAAACAAGGCCUGCUGUGGAUAGAGCUCUGACACUGAUCUGCUCCAGCCUGCUCUGGUUCAACCCUGGGGAUGCUGGUUUUAGGUAUGGGGCACAUGGGUCGCUAUGGUAGAAGCUGCUCCUCAUGACAGCCCAUAACUCUCUGGUCUCAGUUUGGACCAGUCCCUGUGAACCUGUUUUAAUGGGGAUCAGACCUCAGUAUUUUGUCUUAACCAACGUUCUGCAUUCAGAUGUAGACUGGACCGAAGGUGUGUCCUGGUUUGUACAUACAUAAUUCCCUCUCUGUUCUGUCUCCAUAUAGGCAUACAAGAUGCCAACACUGGAACUGGACCUCCGGGUCAAGUAUAUUUAUACAUGUGUGUAUAUGCACAUGGCUGGUGAGGUGUAUUAAAAACAGUUUAUUUCAGAAAUAGCAUCAUUUUUCCUGGCGGAGGAGAACAGCUUUUCUUAUUUUCUGUGCCACUCAUAUUUUUGGUCUUAGCGAGGCAAAAUGCCAGGGAAUGACAACAUGUUUACCUAAGAGCAGCUAAAAGAGCUGCGUAGCAAUCAAGGUAUCGAGUGGGUUGGGCUGAAAAUAGAUCAGCUUGGAAGGAUUUUGGUCAGAAAUGUUCAGCAAGGGACUAGAUGGCUGUGAGCACUGGUAACAGCCUACAGAGACUUUCAUUUUGGAGGAAUAUAUCUCCACCUUGCUCCAACUAAUUGCUGCAAUGCUUUUGGACAGCAUCUGUGGUCUGCCUUGCUGACUCACUGCACCAUUUCCCCAUCUGCGAGGAGUGAAUUGUGCUCUUCUAUUCUUUGAGGUUUAGCUUUCUAGGUGAGGAGACACGUGGAGCAUCCCCUGCACCAAUGCUGAGCAAGGCUCAUGCUCCUUCCUCCAACCCUGAACCUUACUGUGAAACGAGAAUCGUUGUUGGGAACAAGAUAUCUGGGGAAUGGGAAACAUCUCUUUCUGCAAAAAUCUGUUUUGAAAUGUGUUUGCGACCCCACUGAGACAACACUGUGUCCUUUACCUCAGUCCUUCUGGAGUAAUUGUUUUUGUUUAAUCCUCGUAGCUCUCAUUAAGAAGUCCCCCAACUCUUCUCAAGACCAGGUUGUGUGGGGCACUGGGCAACCUGAUGCAGUGAGUGGCAACUGUGCCCAUGGCACUGGGGUUGGAGCUGGGUGGGCUGUAAGGUCCCUUCUAACCCAAGCCAUUCAAUGAUUCAAUAAUUCAAAUAUUCUAUGAUUCUAUGACGAAGUUUUGUCUCUGCCUUCCUUGAUGAGCAGACAGGCUCUGCCCUGUGCCAAGCCUAACUGACCCACGUGAUUACCAAACUAUUUGCCCGUGGCUUCACAUAUCUCACUUUAUACACUACCUUGUGCCAGCUUUCAGCUCUGGGCAUGUCUGUUCCACUAUUGUGGCCCAGGGUCUGGCAUGUCUCUUGGCACCCUGACAGCCACGACAGAUUACAGCAGAAGUGUUCAGCAGGUCCAGGAAAGCUUUCAGCCUGCAAAAAGAAAACACGAACACGGCGCUGUCUUCUAAGGUGUGGGUAUGAGACAGGUCUGGUCCCGGACCCUGGGCUCAGGUCCAGGCAAUGUGAACAACAUCGCCAUGUCUUUGCAGUGCUGAUCUCUUCUGUCAUAAAAUCCAAGUCCUCUGAUGGUCAGGGUAUUCUAGCACAACUCAAACGCAACGACAUCGGCCAUGCAAUUCUUCUUAAAGAUCUUGCAAACACUAUAGGAGGAUCAGCACCUCGCCAGAUGACUUCUGCCCAUCAGAGAGACCGGCCAAUGGCCACACGUUGACAUCUCUAAGUGAGCCCCGAGGGGCUGGUUCCUCAGCCUUGGGCAGCCACGGGCUGCAGUUCUGUGGAAAACAAAUAGCAAAUAUAUGAAUAUGACCUUCCAUCAUCAAUCUGAUGGUCCUUCCUGGAUGCUGGGGGGGAAGCAUGAUGGGAUUUUCCUGCCCAGAAGCAACAAUAGACAGGGAUGUGUUCUUUUUCUCGAAUCCUUUAGUUGGAAGGGAAUGUGAAAGGCAAUGUCAAGUUUGGCAUAGAGACUACACUUAGGUUUUUAGCAUAUAACCAAACAUUACAGAUCUACAUGUUGUGAUGAGUGGACUAGGUGAUCUCAGUGGGUUUUUCCAACCUUAAUGACUCUAUGAUAACAUCUUUUCUCCUUCUGUGCUUGGCUAUCAGAAAUGGAGGAGUAGGUUGGAGGAUUACAUCCUUACCCGUGGCACAGCUAUGUGCAGUCUGGGAAAGACCUCGAGUCCCACCUGCAGAUUUGCAUUAGUGUGGAUGGAUUUCAGCUGUAGGAUGAUUUUUAGGCCACCCUAGAUGUCAUCAGGCAUUCAGAUUGGAGAAUCACUGCUUAAGAGAUGACAAUUUUGGAAACUUUUUUGGAAGCUUAUAAGACAUGGUGUAACUCCUGCAGGAACUUGGUUAGUUGCAUGGAACAGCUCAUGCACCUCCAGUUAUUAAAUCAGUAAUUUAACCUUAACUCUAAGCCCAUAGGUGCAACCACAGAACACUUCUUAGUAGAGGUUAUUCAUUACAUAGACAUUCUCAGUUUUGGCCUUGAAAUGGACAAAAGUCAUGAAAUUGGAGAUAUAGUAGUGCUGUUUCAGUGAUAAAAGGUAUCUGCCAAGAUCAGAGUCCCUGUGUGUUCAUAGCACCCAAAUUUUAGCUCCAGAUGGACUGUUUGGACAGGCUGCUCAACAUUUUGGGCAAAGGUAUUGCACGCAGCACAUUGACUAUGAUAAGCAGACACAGCUGCAGUCCAGCCCACUGGCUGCAGAGAUGCUGUAAGGAUGCUUCAUUUUAGCUUGCAGUGGGGACACAAAAGCACUCACUUGCUUGGGGCCCAGGAGCUUGAUCCUGCUCACCAGCAAGGUCCCCAGGUGCCCAAUAAUCUCUGCAUAAGUAAGGGCAGAUGUCAGCCCAUCAGCCAGUUCCAUACUUGUUUGCAUUUCAAUGUGCAUUUAAAAAAAAUACCAUGACUGGAUAACACUCUCCCAGAGACCACUUUAUGUCAUAUCAACUCAGUCUAAUGCCACAUUCAGAACUUCUUAGCAAACCUGGGAGAAUUAUUUGCAGGGCUACUGAAAUUCAAAGAAAAGCUUCAGUCAAGGACUCCUUGGGUUUUCCAGGCAGAGCUUGUGUAGUUAUCAUAGGAAUCCUGUUAUUUCACAGGAAAUAGUUUCUCAUCCUUGGAGGCGCUCAAGCCCCUGGGCUCAAGGUUGGAUAGGGCCCUGGGCAACUUUAUGCACUGGGAGGUAUCCUUGCCCAUGGCAGGGAGCUGGAACUGGAUGGUCUUUAUGGUUCCUUCCAGCCCAAGCCAUUCUAUGACAAUGGACACAAGAGAAUCCAUCCAGGGGCUGUUGGCUGUACAUCUAGGGAAGGUCAGGACACUUAGGAGAAUCAAUUGUCCUUCUAAGCACCAGUCCUAUGGCUUCCCAAGGAGCGAGGAGAUCAGUUAGUGACCCCAGUGGCUCACUCCCUAUAUAAUCUCAGACUGAUAACACUUUUUUAGAGGGUUUUCAAUAAGUGUCUACACCUCUUUGUCUUCUCUUCUCAGCUCCACACGCUCACGACAGGGACCUUGCUAUCUCCAGCCAAGGAAGGUGCUAAUGCACCACAAAUGUGCCAUUUCUCUGGCAUUUGGGUUAUCCGGGUCAGCAUCUCUGCAGGUCAGAUGCAUAUAGCAGCCAUGCUCCAGCGUGGACAUAAUAACCACGAUGUUGGGAGGCCCUGGCAGUGAUUGUAAGUUUGGUGACUUCAGCUGUUUGGACAAGGCACAUGCGUAGGUGUUGGAGGGCUCAUGAGUUGCUUCAUUAACAGACCCUGUCCCUGGCACAUCAGGCUUCACGCCGUGUGCUUUGCUUCCACACAGAGCAGUUCAUCCAUCUGGACAAGAGCAGGGUUGGCUACAAAGCCAAGCUGCAGGAGGGAGCAAGCAGUAAUCUUCAACCCAAACCAUCGCUGCUGUCGGAUGAAUCCCUAACCUGUGCUCCCAGCUGGCCAACAGGAGCUUGCAAGGCUAAUUUUAUGUCUCUAGCUUCAGGUUACAGCCUGGCACCUUAAAAUAAAUCAGCACUGAGUUUGGGUUAACUUAAAAAAAAAAAAACCUGGGCGGCAGGUUAGGGAUGGAGAAGAAAAUACACUGUGGAAGACUUAAGUGAACAGAGAAAGAGGCAGCCCCAGCAAUGUUGUCAACCCAAGCAUGACUCUGGCAUUGGGAAGCAGCAAGGAUAGGAGCCCUUGGGCAAAGGGGCGGCUGAGAAGAGGAUGGGAGCCAUGAGCAAAGCACUGUGCCUCUGCUCUGGGUACAAACUGUGCUCUGCAGAAGCCAAUCUGAACCAUAGUUUCUCUUGUUGCCACUGUUUCUUGUUACCAGUGUUCCUCUUCUUUCUUGCUUUCCCCCUGCCAAAGGAGCAGUCGUCCUGAAAACUAGGAAUUAUUGUGGGGAGAAUUAUUUAGGAAAUGAUCCUUUUUUUUUUUUUUUUUUUUUUUUUUUUUUUUUUUUUUUUUUUGCAAAAUGGGAAAUUAAAAGAAAAAAAGAUAAUCGGAUAUUUUCUCUGCUCAGGAACAGUGAGGGGAGAAAUGCCUGCAAGUAAGAAAUGCCUUCUCCUCGCUUUGUUGACUGCUGGAACAGAAGCAAAUGGAUGAAUCAGAAAUAAGGAAAAGCGAGUUGUGAGCAGUGAGUCCGAAGGCUGUCUGCUGCUCAUCUGCUUCCUCGGAGCAGGCAGUCUCCCAGGACAGCUUCAGGUAGCAUCUGACCAUGUCUCCCAGCUCAUCUGCGUGUGGGUUCGGGGUGUGCUGGAGCUCAGCUAAACCUGCCAGCCAUUUGGAGCUGGCUUCCCCGUGCACACGCCGAGGAGAGCUCGGCUGGUUGGACAGAGCAUUGCAAAGCCGCUUUCUAGGAAAGAAGCUUUGCACAACAGAAGGGAAAAUAGGUCGUUGUCAAGGUUUAGGGCAUUUGCAGAAGAAAGUAAACAAGGGGGUGAGAUGGGAGGAUGGCUCGGUUGUGAUCCCUGACAAACCUUUCCACAUGCACAAGGGAGGAAUCGGUGCCCCGUGACACCCACAGGUGCUCUUUGGGGCACAGCUUGCUCCUAUGCAUGGUGCACUUAGAGCAGAUGCACCCCCUGGCAUCAUUGCUGAUGGGAGCAGGAGGUUACGGGAUGGUGCUGAGCAGUUUGCUGGGGCGAGCAGAAGGCUCCAGGUCCACGGGUUUCACUGUGUGGGGGUUUCGGUGUCACAAUCUCUGGUUGUGCCCCAAGGGACCCUCUGGAGACUCCAACCAGGGCACCCCAGCAGCCUCUUCCCACUGGUUCCUCCUCACCGCAGUCCUACAGAAAUCCCCAAACCAAGACAACAAAUAACAACCACCAACCCACUGCAGAAGCACCACAAGUCCCUAAAAACACCCUCAGCCUUCCACCAGCAACACCCCCGGGAGAGCUCAGCCGCCUCCCUGUGUACUUCACAACCCCAUUACCACCCUACCGACCCCAGCGUGGAGUUGGGGCUGCGGGGGGGAGGUGAACAAGGUCGUGGGCUCAUGCACUGCCAAGGAACGCUCUGUGCUCACGGUCUGCAGGGCAGCGGGGGCUCCUCUCCCACCCCACACAUCUGCCAGCCGCCUGGCCCUGCCGCCAGCCGCCCCAGUACAUCUUGUUUGUGUUUUUCCGCGAGCACACUCCCAGCGGGUUAUGUCAGAGGUGAGGAAUGCAGGGCCACCCUGUGUCAUGAGAUCAGACUUACAUUUUUAGGCUGAAGGCUUUUUACCGUAUUUUCUGGGAAGCAGCGCGCCCGCGGGGCCCCGGAGGGGUGGGAGAGUUCCCUUCGCCUCCAUCCCUUCUUCCCAGCCCUCGGACGGGAGGAGCGGAUGGGGCCCGUCUGCUGGAACAAGCUCUCCCUCUGUUCCUUGC
ensembl:lncRNA